GGUGUUAGAAGAGAUACUCUGAGCGAAGACCAUGGGAAAUGGUAAUGGGUUGAACUUUAUCAGUUUUGAAUUUCCUUUAUAUGUGUAUAGAUCAUCUGAUGUUCCAAGCCCACGCACGGUGAUUCCUACUGGAUUAACAAAUACCGAGAAGACAUGGAUUUUUAAGAAACUGGAG